CAGUAGCCACGGUAAUACGGAGGGGGCUAGCGUUGUUCGGAAUUACUGGGCGUAAAGCGCACGUAGGCGGCUUGGUAAGUUAGAGGUGAAAGCCCGGAGCUCAACUCCGGAAUUGCCUUUAAGACUGCAUCGCUUGAAUCCAGGAGAGGUGAGUGGAAUUCCGAGUGUAGAGGUGAAAUUCGUAGAUAUUCGGAAGAACACCAGUGGCGAAGGCGGCUCACUGGACUGGUAUUGACGCUGAGGUGCGAAAGCGUGGGGAGCAAACAGGAUUAGAGACCCGCGUAGUCCCUGUCUCUUAUAC
rnacentral:rRNA from 1 species